rnacentral:rRNA from 1 species
AUUGAACGCUGGCGGCAGGCCUAACACAUGCAAGUCGAACGAGUGGCGGACGGGUGAGUAAUGUCUGGGAAACUGCCUGAUGGAGGGGGAUAACUACUGGAAACGGUAGCUAAUACCGCAUACCCUCGGAUGUGCCCAGAUGGGAUUAGCUAGUAGGUGGGGUAACGGCUCACCUGGUCGACGAUCCCUCGCUGGUCUGCGAGGGUGACCAGCCACACUGGAACUGAGACACGGUCCAGACUCCUUCGGGAGGCAGCAGUGGGGAAUAUGGCACAAUGGGCGCAAGCCUGAUGCAUCCAUGCCGCGUGUAUGAAGAAGGCCGUCGUGUUGUAAAGUACUUUCAGCGGGGAGGCGUUACCCGCAGAAGAAGCACCGGCUAACUCCGUGCCAGCAGCCGCGGUAAUAC